rnacentral:rRNA from 1 species
AUUGAACGCUGGCGGCAUGCCUUACACAUGCAAGUCGAACGGUAACAGGUUAAGCUGACGAGUGGCGAACGGGUGAGUAAUACAUCGGAACGUGCCCAGACGUGGGGGAUAGCUCGGCGAAAGCCGGAUUAAUACCGCAUAAGCUCUGAGGAGGAAAGCGGGGGACCGUAAGGCCUCGCGCGUUUGGAGCGGCCGAUGGCAGAUUAGGUAGUUGGUGGGGUAAAGGCUUACCAAGCCUACGAUCUGUAGCUGGUCUGAGAGGACGACCAGCCACACUGGGACUGAGACACGGCCCAGACUCCUACGGGAGGCAGCAGUGGGGAAUUUUGGACAAUGGGCGAAAGCCUGAUCCAGCAAUGCCGCGUGCAGGAUGAAGGCCUUCGGGUUGUAAACUGCUUUUGUACGGAACGAAAAGGCGCCUACUAAUACUGGGUGUUGAUGACGGUACCGUAAGAAUAAGCACCGGUUAACUACGUGCCAGCAGCCGCAGUAAAAC